rnacentral:rRNA from 3 species
ACUACGGAGAGUUUGAUCCUAGCUCAGGACGAACGCUGGCGGCAGGCUUAACACAUGCAAGUCGCACGAGAACGUCCUGGCUUUGCCAGGACAAGUACAGUGGCGGACGGGUGCGUAACGCGUAGAUAACCUGCCCUCAGGCGCGGGACAAUCACGGGAAACCGUGGCUAAUACCGCACGACGUCUGGAGCCCGCAUGGGCCCCAGAUGAAACCCCGGCUUCUGUCGGGGGCCUUUGGAUGGGUCUGCGUCGGAUUAGCUCGUUGGUGGGGUAACGGCUCACCAAGGUGACGAUCCGUAGCUGGUCUGAGAGGACGAUCAGUCACACUGGGACUGAGACACGGCCCAGACUCCUACGGGAGGCAGCAGUGGGGAAUCUUGCACAAUGG